rnacentral:rRNA from 1 species
CAGGUGCGAAAGCAGGUCAUAGUGAUCCGGUGGUUCUGAAUGGAAGGGCCAUCGCUCAACGGAUAAAAGGUACUCCGGGGAUAACAGGCUGAUACCGCCCAAGAGUUCAUAUCGACGGCGGUGUUUGGCACCUCGAUGUCGGCUCAUCACAUCCUGGGGCUGAAGUAGGUCCCAAGGGUAUGGCUGUUCGCCAUUUAAAGUGGUACGCGAGCUGGGUUUAGAACGUCGUGAGACAGUUCGGUCCCUAUCUGCCGUGGGCGCUGGAGAAUUGAGGGGGGCUGCUCCUAGUACGAGAGGACCGGAGUGGACGCAUCACUGGUGUUCGGGUUGUCAUGCCAAUGGCACUGCCCGGUAGCUAAAUGCGGAAGAGAUAAGUGCUGAAAGCAUCUAAGCACGAAACUUGCCCCGAGAUGAGUUCUCCCUGAGACUUUAAGUCUCCUGAAGGAACGUUGAAGACGACGACGUUGAUAGGCCGGGUGUGUAAGCGCAGCGAUGCGUUGAGCUAACCGGUACUAAUGAACCGUGAGGCUUAACCUU